rnacentral:lncRNA from 1 species
CCUCCCAACAUUUGCAGCUGUCCAGUGGUCACAGGGGAUUUGUACCAUUGAAUUUCCUGAUCCUAAAGGAGAGAGAGAGAAAAUGAGAGCCUUAGUGCUUUACCCUGAGCUGGAGGCCUGAGCAUCACUCCACAGCACUGCAGGGCUGGCGUGGGCACACCAGUGUUUGCUGACAGACCUCGUGGUCAUCAGAGACUCAAUUGCAGUGGUUGCCAUGGAGAUCGGACCGGGGAACCAGGGACCUAACACUGGGACCACAGAGGAAGCCUUACUCACAGGGCAUGGUUCAGGCAGCCUGUCUCUUGCCACACCCAUGGUCAGAAGACUCAUUCUGCUGGUAUUUGAGGUUUGGAAACUCCAAUUGGGGUGUUUUGGUUCCUAUGCAAUUUCCUAGGACUAAAUAAGGACCAGUCUCUGAUCCUCAAAGCAUCCCUUCAGAGGCAAUGGGCAACUAACAAUGAAUGGAAGAAUCCAAUCAGUGUGGCAAGUGAGAAGAAAAAGAGAGAGUUAGCCUGCUAGAGAAGAGAUGUGCAACCAUUCCAGGCCAGAAGACUCAAUCUGAAAAGGAAGGAGAUUCAUACGAAUCACAGCUAACAAGAUGUCCUGCGUUGAAAGUUGUCAUGUUGGUGAUGUCACAGGAACUCAAAGUGUGUUAUGACAGUAUGUACCCUGCAGACAGUCUCUAUCGUGCCCCUUUCCCUGUACCUUGUAUAGGGAUGCUGGGAUUUCCACAGACAUCCAUGGAAACUGUUCCUUAAAUUCUUAUUCUUGCUUUGGUCUGAUAAUGGGAGAGGAUUUCACUCAAGUAUUACUCUGAAAUUCUAAUUAGGAGUGUGGUCAUGCCUAAUCAAAUCA